GAUGAACGCUGGCGGCGUGCCUAAUACAUGCAAGUCGAGCGAACAGACGAGGAGCUUGCUCCUUUGACGUUAGCGGCGGACGGGAGAGUAACACGUAGGUAACCUACCUAUAAGACUGGGAUAACUUCGGGAAACCGGAGCUAAUACCGGAUAAUAUUUCGAACCGCAUGGUUCGAUAGUGAAAGAUGGCUUUGCUAUCACUUAUAGAUGGACCUGCGCCGUAUUAGCUAGUUGGUAAGGUAACGGCUUACCAAGGCAACGAUGCGUAGACGACCUGAGAGGGUGGUCGGCCACACGGGAUCUGAGACACGGUCCAGACUCCUACGGGAGGCAGCGGUAGGGAAUCUUCCGCAAGGGGCGAGAGCCUGACGGAGCAACACCGCGGGAGUGAUGAAGGUCUUCGGAUCGGAGAACUCUGUUAUUAGUAAAGAACUAACGUGUAAGUAACUGUGCACAUCUUGACGGUACCUAAUCAAAAAGCCACGGCUAACUACGUG
rnacentral:rRNA from 1 species